rnacentral:rRNA from 1 species
AGUAGUUGAUCAGUGCUCGAGGACGACGCUGGCGGCGUGCCUAACACAUGCAAGUCGAACGGAGUAUUGCGCUGAAACGAGAGUAGCUUGCUACAGGAAUUUCUUGUAAUACUUAGUGGCGGACGGGUGAGUAACGCGUGAGGAACCUGCCUUACAGAGGGGGACAACAGUUGGAAACGACUGCUAAUACCGCAUAACAUAUUGAGAGGACAUCCUCUUAAUAUCAAAGGAGCAAUCCGCUGUAAGAUGGCCUCGCGUCUGAUUAGAUAGUUGGUGAGGUAACGGCCCACCAAGUCGACGAUCAGUAGCCGGACUGAGAGGUUGAACGGCCACAUUGGGACUGAGACACGGCCCAAACUCC